AUUUCCAAACAAGGGACACGGUUUCACCAUAGAAACGCUAUUUUUAAGAAUCCUCCUGACAGUCAACCCUAGCCUGUGCUCCUGCACCAUGAAAAUGAGGCUUUACCAAGAGGAGAAAAGACCUGGACGUUCCUGCCCACUGGGGACCUUUAUAGAGAUGGUGUUCUUCUGAGAGUACUGAGUGCUGGGGCACUUAUCUGCCACCACCCAUCAAUGGACCUGCUACCAUUCCUGGCCCUAGAAUGUGACAAGCACACCCAGCUGCAGACGCCUUCAGGGUUGCCUGUGACCGCUGCCCUCCUCUAUGAGGAGCUUCCUGCUGCCCACAGCUCGACAGACCAACCACAGACCCUCCAGGGCCGUGUCUACACUCCCCUGUCCAACCUCGUCCUCUGGCUUCUACACUAGGCUGCCGGAAUUUUAUCUUUAACGCCAGUGCUGGGGUUGACUUCUCAGAGCAUCUUGUAACGUUAAUGCGAGUCUCAAAACAAGUAUUACCAGCGUCCCCUCCCUCCAUUCUGAUGUGAAGAGGCUCCACAGGUCCUCCAUCCUAAUCCGGCAACCAGGAGCCCACCCGCCGGGAAGUGCCAUCUGGCUGUCCACGUGCUGCUUUCUCCAGCUUUGACUGGUGCACGGCAGUGAGGACUGGGACAUUUCCAAGGUAACCCAGCAGAGGAGGGUUGCCCAGGUUGGGUUUUCAACAGCAGACUGUGUGGCCUCCGAGAGGAUACCCACCAAGUGCCCCAAAUCACCUCUCCCAAGAAGCCCGACCACAGAAUGCAGGGAGGCUGCGGAGCCCAGCCUGGAAGUGUGGGAUCCAAAUAGAAGGGGAGCAGGGUCUGUCCUCCCCAACCCCCACCCCAGUGCACGUGUGUCUGGAUCACACGUCCAACAUGGGAAAGGCCCCUCAGAACAGCUCAUGCCGACCCCAGGGCACUGCUGAUAUUCUCCUCUCCUCUGCCCUGAUGGUACAGGGCUCCCACAAGGAACGGAUUGUUUUGCUUUUCUGAUUUAAUUUGCCACUGAGAAGCCAAGGACGAGGGAACAGAGACAAUUCCCAGGCCCGUCGGAUGCACACACAUUCUGGGCUCUGCAGAGACCUUUUACAGAAAGAGGGCUCUAAAUUCUGAGGGAAAUCCAUCCAGCCGGGGAAAGAUGGCAAUAAAUCUGUGAGAAAAUAAAUUUUCACUUUAAGAGGAAAUUUUACCAUCGCCAAAUUCUGCCAAAUUUUGGAUUUGGGGAUUGGUAAAGAGGUUUCCAAAAUGAAAUGAUGUCUAAACGUUGUUUAUUUUAAAGGACGUAAUACAUAGUAAAAAUGAAAUAAUCCUCCCACCCCGUUGAGAGUGCUUUUCUUUCCCAACAGACCUCCUCCAGCUCCAGUAAUUUCACUGUUAAUGGGCAGAGGAGAAGCAAUCAGCUAGGUAACAGGCACCCCUGGCGCUGAAGUCAUUUAAUUAGCACCAGUAAAUGAGAGCAGCCCAGGUGCUCGGGCGUCAUUAGCCGUGCCCAAAACAUCUCCCACAUUGGUCAGCAAUUAGAGCCAGGGGUGGGGAGCUAAGCGCCCUCAGAGAGGAAUCCUCCCAACCCAGGACAUGAUGGGGUCCGAGGUCCAGUUCUGCAAAAGGCGGAUCAAGGUCAGAGCCCCCAAACCUCUAGGGAGUCAUGGAAAUUGAGGAGGUAAGAGGUGUUAUGAACCACCUAACAAAUUCAUGAGAUGCCAUACUUUCCACCCAGGAGAAGUUACCUGGGCUCUGGAGCCAUACUAUCAUCGUUGAAUCCUAGCUAGAUGCUUCCAGCAACUUACUAGAUCUUUUGGUCUCAGUUUUCUCAUCUGAAAAACAGGGAUAACAACAAAACCUGCCUGAGGUUUAAAGGAGUUAAUGCCUGUGAGCCGCCUGGAAGGCAUGCGGAAGCCUUUCAGCAGCGUUGUUCUUCCUAUGUUGCUUGAUUAUUUCUGUCAUCAUUAAAUUUAUGUCACUUGAGUUUUCCACCAUCAGUCAGCCAUGGUUUCCCUGUUCGUAAGUAAUGGAGUCAGCAGUCACAGUGGGAGUAGUGUUGAUGAUCAUGGCUUCCACUUGGUGCUCAGCAUGUGCUCGGUUUGGGUCUAGAGACCCUAUGUUGGGGGGAUGCCCUCCAUACCAACUCCAGCCACCACAUGUUUUUUGUAAAUAAAGUUUUA